CAGGCGAGAAAGUACUGCUCAGAAGCUGAAGUGUAGAUCAAGCACAUAAUGCUUGAAGUAGUAGUUUCUUGAACUU
ensembl:miRNA